rnacentral:rRNA from 1 species
UGGUUAGCGGCAGCUAGCGUUGCUGUCGAGCGGAGAAAUAAGAUUGUGCUCCUUUGAGUGGCCGACGGAUGAGUGAGUAACACGUGGCUACCCUUCCUAUCAGACUGAAAUAACUUCGGGAAACCGGAUCUCAGGCCGGAAAACCUUUGGAACCGCAGGGUUCUUAAGUACUUGAUGGUUUUGCUAUCACUUAUAGAUGGACCCGCGCCGUAUUAGCUAGUUGCUAAGGUAACGGCUUACCAAGGCAACCAUACGUAGCCGACCUGACAGGGUGAUCGGCCACACUGGACCUGACACCCGCUCCAGACUCCUACGGGAGGCAUUAGAAGGGAAUCUUCCCCAUUGGACAAAAGUCUGACGGAGCAACGCCGCGUGAUUGAUGAGUGUUUUCGGAUCGUAAAACUCUGUUAUUAGGGAAUAACAAAUGUGGAAGUAACUGUGCACCUCUUGACGGUACCUACUCAUAAAGCCACGGCUAACUACGUGCCAACACCCGCGGUAAUACGUAUGUGGCAAUCGUUAUCCGGAAUUAUUGGCCGUAGUGCGCGCGUAAGCCGUUUCUUAAGUCUGAUGUGAAAGCCCACGGCUCAACCGUGGAGGGGCAUUGGAAACUGGUAAACUUGAAUACAGAAGAUGAAAGUGGAAUUCCGUGUGUAGCGGUGAAAUGCGCAGAUAUAUGGAGGAACACCAGUGGCGAAGGCGACUUUCUGGUCUGUAACUGACGCUGAUGUGCGAAAGCGUGGGGGAUCAAAACAGGAUUAGAUACCCUGGUAGUCCACGCCGUAAACGAUGAGUGCUACGUGUUAGGGGGUUUCCGCCCCCUUACUGCUGCAGCUAACG